AUGAGAACCUGUGGAUUGCUUCGAGGCUAAUAUGGUUUGAUCAACCAAGACUCCCUGGAAGAUGCACCUAACCUGAUUGUGGGUGUUGUUCACACCAAGUCUAGCCAUGGAGGGUUCAGACUGGGUCUCAACAAAAUUAUCUCCAAAUGGUUCCUAAACUUCAUUGUUGAAUAGAAUUGCAGAACUUCUAGAAGAUACUAGAGAAAUUACACCUGUCCCCACAAAUCCACAAAGAUACUUCCACUAUAGACUAGUGGCAAUGGUCGAGAGAGUGCCUGAGCUGACCUACUCUGGUGAUCGGAUGGCCAAACACCCUAACUGUCAUCAUAGAACUCUCAUCCAGUGACUAGUGGAAGCAGAUGCAGAGGUCCACAGCCAAACCCUAGGUGGAGCUCCAACAGUCCAAUUGCCGAGAGGGAGAAGGGAUUAUAUGAGCAAGAGAUAUUGAGACCAUGAUUGUAAAAAGCACAGGGACAAAUAUCCAAACUAACAGAAACACAUGAACUGUGUACCAAUAGCUGAGGAGCCCCCA